AUUGAACGCUGGCGGCAGGCCUAACACAUGCAAGUCGAGCGGAUGAAGGGAGCUUGCUCCUGGAUUCAGCGGCGGACGGGUGAGUAAUGCCUAGGAAUCUGCCUGGUAGUGGGGGAUAACGUCCGGAAACGGGCGCUAAUACCGCAUACGUCCUGAGGGUGAAAGUGGGGGAUCUUCGGACCUCACGCUAUCAGAUGAGCCUAGGUCGGAUUAGCUAGUUGGUGGGGUAAAGGCCUACCAAGGCGACGAUCCGUAACUGGUCUGAGAGGAUGAUCAGUCACACUGGAACUGAGACACGGUCCAGACUCCUACGGGAGGCAGCAGUGGGGAAUAUUGGACAAUGGGCGAAAGCCUGAUCCAGCCAUGCCGCGUGUGUGAAGAAGGUCUUCGGAUUGUAAAGCACUUUAAGUUGGGAGAAAGGGCAGUAAGUUAAUACCUUGCUGUUUUGACGUUACCAACAGAAUAAGCACCGGCUAACUUCGUG
rnacentral:rRNA from 1 species